GCCAGCGUGGCAUAGUGGUUUGAGUGAUGGACUUCAAAUCUGGAGAUCAGGGUUUGGAUCCCUACUUGGGCA